rnacentral:rRNA from 1 species
UACGUAGGGCGCAAGCGUUUAUCCGGAAUUAUUGGGCGUAAAGAGCUCGUAGGCGGCUUGUCGCGUCGUCCGUGAAAACCUGCGGCUCAACUACAGGCUGGCGGUCGAUACGGGCAGGCUGGAGUUCGGUAGGGGAGACUGGAAUUCCUGGUGUAGCGGUGAAAUGCGCAGAUAUCAGGAGGAACACCGGUGGCGAAGGCGGGUCUCUGGGCCGAUACUGACGCUGAGGAGCGAAAGCGUGGGGAGCGAACAGG